rnacentral:tRNA from 1 species
GAGGGUAUAGCUCAGUGGUAGAGUGCCUGCUUCGCAUGCAUGAGUUCCUGGGUUCAAUCCCCAGUACCUCCA